AGAGUUUGAUCAUGGCUCAGGAUGAACGCUGGCGGCGUGCCUAAUACAUGCAAGUCGAGCGAAUGACGAGGAGCUUGCUCCUCUAAUUUAGCGGCGGACGGGUGAGUAACACGUGGGUAACCUGCCUGUAAGACGGGGAUAACUCCGGGAAACCGGAGCUAAUACCGGAUGAUAACGAGAAGCGCCUGCUUCUUUUUUGAAAGUCGGUUUCGGCUGACGCUUACAGAUGGGCCCGCGGCGCAUUAGCUAGUUGGUGAGGUAACGGCUCACCAAGGCGACGAUGCGUAGCCGACCUGAGAGGGUGAUCGGCCACACUGGGACUGAGACACGGCCCAGACUCCUACGGGAGGCAGCAGUAGGGAAUCUUCGGCAAUGGACGAAAGUCUGACCGAGCAACGCCGCGUGAGCGAUGAAGGCCUUCGGGUCGUAAAGCUCUGUUGUCAGAGAAGAACAAGUACCGGAGUAACUGCCGGUACCUUGACGGUACCUGACCAGAAAGCCACGGCUAACUACGUGCCGGCAGCCGCGGUAAUACGUAGGUGGCAAGCGUUAUCCGGAAUUAUUGGGCGUAAAGCGCGCGCAGGCGGUCUUUUAAGUCUGAUGUGAAAG
rnacentral:rRNA from 1 species